AGCGACUUCGAUGUAAACAAAAGCUGAACAGAAGAUCAUUUUGGCCGUACAACGACUAAUUGAUGUGGUGAUUACACAGACUACGAUGACAAUACUAGUGGCUCAUCACCUGAGAAGAAUCCACCACAUGAACACCAUGGUUACCAGUGUCCAGAAUGUAACAAAAUCCUUAAAACCAUCUCUGGUUUUAGGGGUCAUUUUACAAAACAACACAACAAACCCAGGAUAAAAGCCAGUGACCACAGAGCUAAAGAGCGGACAUCACCAGUGAGUGAGAAAAUAAAAUUUGGGCCAACUUCAACUCCUGACUAUGAUGGGGUAAUCCGUAAUGCCAGCACCAGAACUCUUCAGAAGAUUAAAGAAGAUCCUAUGUACCAGUUGUUCGGUGAUACUGUGACUGUACGUCUUGCCAUGUUCUGUGCCACCAAAGAAUUCUUGGAUUCCUUUUUCGUGAGCCAUCUAACGGACAUAUUCAGUCUGAACUGGUGUCACAACCUUUCAAUGGAGGUUUUCUAUACCAAACUUCAUGCCCUUAGAUUAUCAACCACCUUACAGUGCGACUGUGUAAAAAGAAUUCAUCGAAAGAGGCUGCACCGAGAAGAGUGAGGAUAUUGUGAACUUUCUUCAGGCGUACAUUCUAAACCUGCCCUGUGAGAUUGUGAACAUUUUGCUUGAACAAAACAAAACAGUGUCUGAGCAACAGUCAAAGGAACUUUCCAAAAAUGACCAGCAAAUUCUGUUUUACAUUUGUGGUUUCAUUGUGAGAAGUCUAAAGAAGAAAAGCUUCAGGAAGAAGAAGGAAGACCGUGGCGAGCGACUGCAGAUGCUGGAGAAGUUAACGUGUGAAAAAAACAAUUCCAGUUUCAUUGCCGAGUUUGACAAGUGGCUGACUAAAAGUAGUCGUGGUGGCUUAUUGAGACCUAC